GGUGCAGCGCUGGGGUAGGACCUUUCUGCAACAGGCACAGAGGCACACACGUCCCCUGAUUCAUUAACAUGGUAACGAUCUCAGGGUGAGCAUUAAUGGCCACAUCACUGCCAAGCAUCUGGCUGAGGUUAACGGCUUCCACGCGGCAGGUCAUUAAUGGGUGUCAGGAGACGAAGGAAAGCUGUGCAAGGCAAAGCAGAAAGAGACUUGUUUUCCAGCGGACGUCCUGCAAGGGAAAAAGUAAGUACAACCAGACGGGGCUCCAGCAGCUCCAAGUUGCUGUGCAGUGUUGACUAAAGAGAGGGAUGGAAAAGGUCCUUUCGUCAGCAUCUGUGGCAGAUUGAAGGGUAAAAACCCAAACGCCAAACAAUGAGAUAUUUUGAAUGCCAUUGGGCCACCCUCGUAGACGUUUUCCUGUGCACAGCCAAGCAGGCAGCAGUGAUAGCUCGGAGAGAAGCCACGUAUCCUGUAAACACCCAUCAGCCUCUCUGAAUGCGAUGGACAGAGUCACCACGGAGAGGCUGAGCAACAGAGAAGGCAUUUUUUCAGUGCUAUUGUGGCCCUGCUUGGCAGCUGCUUUCCUCUCUUGCACAAGAUGUU
ensembl:lncRNA